rnacentral:rRNA from 1 species
CGAUGUCGAUUUGGAGGUUGUGCCCUUGAGGCGUGGCUUCCGGAGCUAACGCGUUAAAUCGACCGCCUGGGGAGUACGGCCGCAAGGUUAAAACUCAAAUGAAUUGACGGGGGCCCGCACAAGCGGUGGAGCAUGUGGUUUAAUUCGAUGCAACGCGAAGAACCUUACCUGGUCUUGACAUCCACAGAACUUUCCAGAGAUGGAUUGGUGCCUUCGGGAACUGUGAGACAGGUGCUGCAUGGCUGUCGUCAGCUCGUGUUGUGAAAUGUUGGGUUAAGUCCCGCAACGAGCGCAACCCUUAUCCUUUGUUGCCAGCGGUUAGGCCGGGAACUCAAAGGAGACUGCCAGUGAUAAACUGGAGGAAGGUGGGGAUGACGUCAAGUCAUCAUGGCCCUUACGACCAGGGCUACACACGUGCUACAAUGGCAUAUACAAAGAGAAGCGACCUCGCGAGAGCAAGCGGACCUCAUAAAGUAUGUCGUAGUCCGGAUUGGAGUCUGCAACUCGACUCCAUGAAGUCGGAAUCGCUAGUAAUCGUAGAUCAGAAUGCUACGGUGAAUACGUUCCCGGGCCUUGUACACACCGCCCGUCACACCAUGGGAGUGGGUUGCAAAAGAAGUAGGUAGCUUAACCUUCGGGAGGGCGCUUACCACUUUGUGAUUCAUGACUGGGGUGAAGUCGUAACAAGGUAACCAAU